AGAGUUAACUUACAAUGGGGCCAAAUAUAUGAGGAAGGAUAACAUAUUACGUAAAAACAUGAAACAUAAAUAAAAUUACUAUUAGAGAAAUUAAUUAGAGAAAAUUUUGGUUAAGGCAUUGACUAGAAGGUACCCCUUCGCCAAAGAAAAGAACAAGGCGAGAUCAUGUAAUGCCAUUAUGAAAAUGUAAAUGUGAAGCUCUUUGGUAUAUAUCUUAUUAUAUGAUUUUCUGUGCAUCAAGUUGCAUAUCCUUAUAUAAGGCUAUAAAGAGAAAGCUGAUGACUGGGCAAACUUCAUUUUGGACAUGUUCUAUAUAGCUAAAGAACAAACCAUUCUCGCAUAUUUUGUGAGCUAGUAACUAGAUGGUGAGUUUUCGAGUUCUGAUAUCUGCAAAUCUCUCUUCAGCUUACCACCUUUUCUUACCCUUUCUGCUCCAGAUACACAAUAGUAUAGCUUUUAGCUUCGCCUUCCGCUUACUUGGAAGCUUCUGAAUGGAGUAGACCAUCUCGCUUUAGCUUCAAGAUCAUUGGGCGUCAGCCCAUUUCUUUUCUCUGUUGCCAAUUGACGCUUGCCAGCUGCUGUUCUUGACGUGCGAUGCCUUGUCUAACCCAAAAAGAAGAAACAGAAAUUGCUUUUCCAACAAUAAAUGAAUUGGAAA
rnacentral:misc_RNA from 1 species